rnacentral:rRNA from 1 species
CCCUUCAGAGGGGGACAACAGUUGGAAACGACUGUUAAUACCGCAUACGAUCUAAUCUCGGCAUCGAGGAUAGAUGAAAGGUGGCCUCUACAUGUAAGCUAUCACUGAAGGAGGGGAUUGCGUCUGAUUAGCUAGUUGGAGGGGUAACGGCCCACCAAGGCGAUGAUCAGUAGCCGGCCUGAGAGGAUGAACGGCCACAUUGGGACUGAGACACGGCCCAG